rnacentral:lncRNA from 1 species
CUCGACCACUUAAGGAUCCAGCUGGACUCCUGCCGCGAGUCGGAAAGCAAGGCCAGAGAGAUGCUGGAAAGCGCCAACAGGCACCUUGGAGAAAUGCAGGCCGAGCUGCAGAGACAACGAGAGCAAGCAGACAGCAACCGACAGAUACGAGAUAUCGGUAUCGGUCUGAUGUUUAUUCCUAUCGUGGGGACAAUUGCUGGCUCCAUCAUGGUCGGCUGUGGGCAGGUAGCUUUGGAUGCCGCUGAGAAAGCCGCACGCGAGGCCCAGGAUGCCGUUGAUCGAUACACGAACGAAGUGUCCAGUUACUCAGCAGAAGUCUGCAGGUACGACGAACAGGAGCGGCAGGUGGAGGCCGAGAUCGCGGCAAAUGAGCAGCGACUGAUUCAGAUCAACGCGGAGCAACAGGCGUUGGCCGUGCUACAGGGGGAGAUCAUCACCCUGCAGAACGGGCUGAGGAAAUGUGUUACCUUCAUGAAUGGGCUAGCAGGGAAGGUCCGCGUGGCUAAGAGGCUCACCGAGGACCUGCUGAUGUUUGAGGAGCUAGCCAGUGUCCUCGGAGAGAUCGUCCAGCAGGUGCUGCCCCUAAUGAGCCCAGGAGGUGAGGCCGGCACGAGAUUCCUGGCCGCGGGGGAACUCGAGGGCCUCAUUGAGAAGUUAAAGUCGGGCGGUCGCAGCCUCAGAGCCCUGGCAGACACCGAGGCAGCAGCAAUUGAGUUUUAGGGCCACGAUUUCAAAAGCCGAAGACCCAGGCUCACAGCUGGGCUACGGCGAGCGUAUGGGUUUCCCUCUACGUUUGAGAAUCGUACCGGGCUACAAUGCUGGUUAGUUGGGCUGCCCCUUCCAAGAUCCAACACCCCCUCCCCCAAAAUAGCCUUUGCCCCUCACCUCCACCAUCCUGACCCUCUUCUUCCUCUCUCAGGCAACCCCUGGGGCUCAAACCCCAUCCCCGCGCCCCUGUACCCGCUCCUGACUCCCCCUGCUGGUGAGCCUGGCGUCCCACCCUCCCUUCUCCACCACGUGUCCCGGCACAGUCCUCCCAAGGUCUCUGCGCGGCCACGUGGCUUAUGAGUGAAAACCCCCCUGGUGCAUGGCAACCAGCAGGAGAAAAACCAGCCAGGUGUCAACCCCAGCUAGGGCUGUGCCAUUUUAACUGACACGGAGAAACCAGCACAGCCCCCUGGGUGCAAACAGUUAUACUGGUGUAAAGGGGCCUUUACUGGUUUAGCUUAGUCCCCUUCCCCUGUGGGAAUAGGCACCGACAUGCCAGUGUAGCUGCCUCCACACUGCAGUGGGAUAGCUAGACGGGAUGAGCUAAAGCAGUACAACUUCCUCGUGUAGACAAGACCUAAAUUGUUUUUACAUGGUGGAGUAAAACCAUUGCAACCCCCCUGUGGAUACGCUUUGUUCUGGUUGAGGAGUAACCAGUGUGAAGCUUGAUCUAUGCUUAAAACUUCUACGGGCAUUGUUGUGUUGGGCAGGGUGUAAAAACAACAACACUCCCCCCCCCACCCACACACACACCCCAUGGCUGUGCUGGUAAAACCCCCAAUGCAGACACAACUGUGUCAACAGAGGAGCGCUUCCAGCGGAUUCACUAUCAUCUUUUCGGGAGGUGGUGCUUGUUGUACCAUCCGAAAAGCUCCUGGUGUUGGCGUGAGCUGCGUCUACACCAGGGAACCCUGCCGGGUUUGCUACACUGACUGUCUCUGCAAUUUAGUUU